UCUCCUGGAAAACGGGUGGUAAUACCGGAUGCUCCGCUCCAUCGCAUGGUGGGGUGGGAAAUGCUUUUGCGGCAUGGGAUGGGGUCGCGUCCUAUCAGCUUGUUGGCGGGGUGAUGGCCCACCAAGGCGUUGACGGGUAGCCGGCCUGAGAGGGUGACCGGCCACAUUGGGACUGAGAUACGGCCCAGACUCCUACGGGAGGCAGCAGUGGGGAAUAUUGCACAAUGGGCGCAAGCCUGAUGCAGCGACGCCGCGUGCGGGAUGGAGGCCUUCGGGUUGUAAACCGCUUUUGUUCAAGGGCAAGGCACGGUUUCGGCCGUGUUGAGUGGAUUGUUCGAAUAAGCACCGGCUAACUACGUGCCAGCAGCCGCGGUAAUACGUAGGGUGCGAGCGUUAUCCGGAUUUAUUGGGCGUAAAGGGCUCGUAGGCGGUUCGUCGCGUCCGGUGUGAAAGUCCAUCGCCUAACGGUGGAUCUGCGCCGGGUACGGGCGGGCUGGAGUGCGGUAGGGGAGACUGGAAUUCCCGGUGUAACGGUGGAAUGUGUAGAUAUCGAAAAAAAACA
rnacentral:rRNA from 1 species